ensembl:lncRNA
AGAGAUACUCUUUGAAAGAGUAUUAAGUGGUGUGACUGUUUUGUCCCUGUAUUAACAAUAAGUCAUUUUUCCUCACAAUCUGUUUAUAUUUCAUUUUUCUGACAUUUAAAAUCUUCUCCUUUAUUAUUACCUUUCAAAAUUAUUUAUUUUUAAAAACUGACAAAUAAAAUGUCAGAAUAUAUAUAUAUAUUUAUAAUGCAUAAUAUGAUUUAAUUGAAAUUUUGUAACUAUCUCCCCGAUCUGCUCACCCACCUCAACUCCAGCCCUUGGUAACCACUGUUCUAAUCUCUACUUCUAUGAGUUCGACUUACCUCGAUUCUAUAUAUAAGUGAGAUAAUACAAUAUUUGUCCUUCCAUGUCUGGUAUUACCAUUUAAACUUUUUAUUUUCUUGAAUGUGCUUUAUUCUUUGUUCAUGCAUUGCCUUUCUCUACAGCUUUUAUGUUACAUCAGAAAACUGAGCAUGCUAUUGUUUUAAUUGUUGCCUAUCAGUUUACUAUAAGUGGCAGAAUUACAUAAAUUGUAAAUAAGAGAUUUAGACAUCUUUACUGAUUUUUGUUUCUUACAUAUUUUCUCUAUGUACCUACACAUUUUUCAAUGGAGGUUUUGACAUUUUCAGUAUCAUAACAAAGCAGCCUUAAAAUAAUAAGAGAUACAGAAAUACAGACACUUCAAGUUCAUUUUUAAUCUUCUAUUUUUGUUUUUUCUUCCAUUCUUACAGGAUGUGGAAAGGAAAGCAGUCUUUGUAGUGACAAACCUGACCAAUGUACCCGUGGGGAAAAAGACUCGUUUUCUUCAAGACUGAAAAAGGCAGAUUUUGACACUUUAACUGUAAGAAGACUGAGUCUCAAAAAUGUCUCAUUUGUGUAAGGCCUCACUCCCCAUAUGAUGAAAGGGUAAGAUUCUAAAGCAUAUAUUCUAAGGUAGCACAACUUACUUUUACUGAAUGUAUUUUAUGAGUAUGGCCAUUUUUUAAAGUAUUUUCAAUUGGACUAUAAGCUUUUUGAGGUCUUUGAGAUCUUUUAUAUGCUCCACACACAAAUUGCCUUAGCAGACAAUAAAUAUUGAUCAACUGGUUGAAUUUU